rnacentral:rRNA from 1 species
UAGGGAAUCUUCCACAAUGGACGAAAGUCUGAUGGAGCAACGCCGCGUGAGUGAAGAAGGUUUUCGGAUCGUAAAGCUCUGUUGUUGGUGAAGAAGGAUAGAGGCAGUAACUGGUCUUUAUUUGACGGUAAUCAACCAGAAAGUCACGGCUAACUACGUGCCAGCAGCCGCGGUAAUACGUAGGUGGCAAGCGUUGUCCGGAUUUAUUGGGCGUAAAGCGAGCGCAGGCGGAAUGAUAAGUCUGAUGUGAAAGCCCACGGCUCAACCGUGGAACUGCAUCGGAAACUGUCAUUCUUGAGUGCAGAAGAGGAGAGUGGAACUCCAUGUGUAGCGGUAGAAUGCGUAGAUAUAUGGAAGAACACCAGUGGCGAAGGCGGCUCUCUGGUCUGCAACUGACGCUGAGGCUCGAAAGCAUGGGUAGCGAACAGGAUUAGAUACCCUGGUAGUCCAUGCCGUAAACGAUGAGCGCUAGGUGUUGGGGACUUUCCGGUCCUCAGUGCCGCAGCAAACGCAUUAAGCGCUCCGCCUGGGGAGUACGACCGCAAGGUUGAAAC